rnacentral:lncRNA from 1 species
CGGGUAUCUUUCAGGUAGAGGGAUAGGUGAUAGCUCUGUCAUCCUUUGCAUUACCCCACGAUCAGGUAUUCCGAUAGGAGUUCUGUAAAGUCUCUAUCGGCUGUGUAUCCAGCUCCGGGGAUCUCCCCUCAUCUCAGGCUUAGUUCUAACUCUAUUUAUUGCUAAUUAGAUGAUCCCCUAACAGUUCUAUGUAUAGUUAUAUGUGACCCAUGCCUGCUUA